GGCACCCCCGCCCACCCCCGGGCCAUUUACCGAUGUGGUUGUCCUCGAUGUGCUCGAUGAGGUCGGCCAGGGUGGGGAAGUGGAGUCCGCAGCCCCCGAAUCGGCAGCACCCCACUGCCCCAUCUCAGGUCUGGGCAUUAACCCAUCUGUGUCCCUGGGAACAAGACUGUCACAGCAGAAAGGACAGUGCAUUGGUUAAGGCUGGAAGGAGUGGAAACAGGGUCAAGGGACAUAUUUACUCUUCAUUUAAAAGAGAAGAGAUCGCUCCGAUCAAUCAAGAUCAUACCAUCCGGAUUUCUCCAGAACUCGAUUAGUGAAAUACCCAGCUGAUGACUGCCGUUCUAACUGAGCAACACAGUUCUACUCCGCUACUGCAGUCUACCACACUGCCAUCCGGAUGAUAGCUCCACACUCAGAUCUGAUGGGAUUUGGCCAGCCCAGCCUGCAGGUUUAAAUAAGGGCUUGGGGCUUCAACUCUGCAGGCAGAUGGAGUCUUGCUACCAAAGUGACUGGUUCGGGAGGUGGACCCAGAAGGUCUCAAGAUUUAAGCUCAGAACUUUUAUUCAGUGGCUGUGUGGAUAAAGGCCCCUCACGUCUCCUCAUUUGAACAAGAAAGAAUGUAGCUCGGCUGAUGCUGGCAGACAUCUUAUGCCCAUGAAGGACUUCUGCCUGAGGAUGAAACCAACCUGGGAGAACACAGAGUUGAGAGGUUUCAGAGAAACUGAACUGGAGCUCUCACAGAACUGUGCCUGAAGCCCACAGUGGUCUUUGCAUUUACAUGACCCAAUGACUUACCUUUACUGUCCAAACAAGUUCAAAUUGUCUUUAUAGUACUAGAUACUGAUAGAGAGGUCAUCCUAAAUGGCAUAGAGUUUGAAGGUUUCUGGAGAAAGGGUGGGAACGUCACGUAGUGUUCAAGUUGCUCACUGACAGGAAGCUGCUCAAGUCUCCUCAUCUUUCCCACUGAAGCUCCCAGCCGUGAGCAGCCUCUGUUGGGUUGAGGCGGGCUGCCUCUGAUCAGCUGAUGGGAGAAGAUGCUGCUGGAGGGAGGGUGUCAACAACAAGGCCUGAGUUGUUGUAGGGGAAGGAAGGCUGGAGUGGGUCCUAGCAUGGGGAUUUGGAUAAUGCCGUGUCACUAGGUUGAUGGACAUGUCUGUGGUCCAUGAUUAUGCCUAUGUUCAGUUUUAGUAGAUGCUGCCAAACCAUUUUCCAAAGUGGGUUUACCAAUUUACACACCCACCAUUGAUAUUUGAGAGUUCCCAGAACCUUUUACUUUUCCUUUGCCCACAGGCUAAUAAAUGAGGUGUUCUGGUUUGACCAGAGUGCAGCAGUUUACAAAGGGGGCUUACAAAGUGCAAGUUAAAAGGGGGCUGCUGAAAUAAGACAUACCAAAAAAGGCACGCGCUUGCGCACGAAAGCAGAAUUCAUGCAGCAUGGCAAUUCAGGGUGAAGAUUUAGAGGUAAAUACAUUUCAAUAUUUUAAUUAAGUUAUAAAAAAUGCAAAUGUGACCCAAAUGCCUGAGGACCUGCUGGUUCUAAACUGUCCUCCAUAAAACAGGAAAACGUCAGGACUCCAUCAGAAUUUCCCUUCUGGGGCUGGCCCUGUGGCCGAGUGGUUGAGUUCGCGUGCUCUGCUUCGGCGGCCCAGGAUUUUGCUGGUUCGGAUCCUGGGUGCGGACAUGGCACUGCUCA